rnacentral:rRNA from 1 species
GAUGAACGCUGGCGGCGUGCCUAACACAUGCAAGUCGAACGGAGUUGUCACCAUGAAGUUUUCGGAUGGAAUGGAGGCAACUUAGUGGCGGACGGGUGAGUAACGCGUGGGUAACCUGCCUCAUACUGGGGGAUAACAGCUGGAAACGGCUGCUAAAACCGCAUAAGAUCGCAUCACCGCAUGGUGAGGCGGUUAAAUAUCGAAAGAUAGGUAUGAGAUGGGCCCGCGUCUGAUUAGCUAGUUGGUGAGAUAAGAGCCCACCAAGGCGACGAUCAGUAGCCGGCUUGAGAGAGUGACCGGCCACAUUGGGACUGAGACACGGCCCAAACUCCUACGGGAGGCAGCAGUGGGGAAUAUUGCACAAUGGGGGAAACCCUGAUGCAGCGACGCCGCGUGAGUGAAGAAGUGCUUCGGCAUGUAAAGCUCUAUCAGCAGGGAAGAAGAUGACGGUACCUGACUAAGAAGCCCCGGCUAACUA